AUUAAUUUAUUCAUUUGCAUGUACUAAUCUCAUUUUUUUCUAAAAAUAAAAUUCUAAGCUAUUUUCAUUUGCACUCUUUUUUCUACACUAAUGUAUCCAUCACCCAACCUCCUUCCAUGUCCUUUUAAUUCUCCAUCUCAGUUUCACUCCUCUCGGCUCCUUCUUAUUCCAACCUCUCUCAUUUUGAGAGCACGGAAUCAAUGAAGAAAAUAAUUAGAAUAUUUUAUCAGCGUUAGUAAAACCGUCACAUUAAAAUAAAUAAAAAGGAGCGAAAAUUAGGAAGAAAUAUCUUGUAAGGGAGAGAAAAAUGCGAGUGAAAGAGAUGCACCCGCUGUGCUGUAUCUCCCUCGAGAGUCCAGGAAUCGGCAAACAUUCGCCGGAGCGGGAGCCGGCGGCGCUUUUCCGAACCAGUAGCCUCCCGGCGGCGGGAUCUCAUGGCAAUGCUGCUCAGGGAUCGGAGACCACCGUCGCCGGCGUUCUCUACAAAUGGACCAACUACGGCAAAGGCUGGAGAUCCCGCUGGUUCCUCUUGCGGAAUGGCGUUCUCUCCUACGCCAAGAUCCGCUGUCCGGAGAAUCUCAACCUCCUCAUUCCUUCCGACGACGUUCGCCUCAUCGGAGAAAUUUCCACCAACCGUCUCGCACGAGUGGACGGCGCCGCCACUGUCACACGACGGAAGCACCGCAAAACUUCUUCUUCUUCCGGCGUUGUCCAUCUCAAGCAGAUUUCGUCGUUUAGAGAGAGCAAGUCAGAUGAUCGGCGUUUCUAUAUAUUUACAGCAACGAAGACAUUCCAUCUGAGAACUGAUUCGAGGAAAGAUCGGGUGGCGUGGAUACAAGCCUUGGUUUCAACACGUGGCCUGUAUCCUCUUCAACCACUCAAUGAUCAUCUCUUGCUUGCACCUAAUAAUAUAUCCUUGUCAACCGAGAGGCUUAAGAUACGCUUGCUUGAAGAGGGUACCGGUGAGAACCUUGUAAAGGAGUGUGAGCAAAUUUUGCUCACAGAGUUCUCCGAAAUGCAAGGACAACUUGAAGUUCUUUGUCAAGAGCGAUCUAAUUUGCUCGAUACAAUAAGGCAGUUAGAGGCAGCUAAUACUGAACCUGAGGCCGCUGCCAUACACAAUGGUGAAUACCAAUUAACAAAGAAUGAGUUUUCAAGUCUUGGACGUGGAAAAUAUAGUGAAUGUAGUACAACUGAAUCAUCUGAUGAUAUUGAGAAACAAGAGAUGGAGGAAGUGUCAGAUGAAGAUGAAAUCUCAUAUUAUGAUACCAGAGAGUGUUUUACAGAGCCUGAUUGCAAGUGUGAGUCAGCGGGAGCUAUGAAUCAAGUGGACAGGUGUAGGGAACCCAACACACUAUACACUGAUACAGAGAACAUUCAUCCUGAGAAAAUGGUCUGUAAUUAUAAGCACCCUCAGAUAGCAAGACGAAAAAAGCUUCCAGAUCCUGUUGAGAAAGAGAAGGGUGUUAGUCUUUGGUCAAUGAUCAAGGACAAUUUGGGAAAAGAUCUAACGAGAGUUUGUCUCCCGGUAUACUUUAAUGAGCCGAUAUCAUCCCUACAAAAGUGUUGUGAGGACUUGGAGUACUCUUAUCUUCUGGAUCAAGCUUAUGAGUACGGAAAAUCAGGAAACGGUCUCCUUCGGGCAUUGUAUGUUGCCGCAUUUGCAGUUUCCGGAUAUGCGUCAUCUGAAGGUCGUAAUUGUAAACCCUUUAAUCCUUUAUUAGGAGAAACCUACGAAGCUGAUUACCCCGACAAAGGAAUUCGCUUCUUUUCCGAGAAGGUCAGUCACCAUCCGACUCUCAUUGCCUGCCACUGCGAAGGUAGAGGAUGGAAGUUUUGGGCUGACACCAACAUCCAUUCAAAGUUUUGGGGAAGGUCAAUUCAGCUUGACCCAGUGGGUGUUCUGACCCUAGAGUUCAGUGAUGGGGAAAUAUUUCAGUGGAGCAAGGUCACCACCACGAUCUAUAAUCUUAUCCUUGGGAAAAUAUACUGUGAUCAUCAUGGGAACAUGGAUAUACGUGGUAAUCGUACAUAUUCAUGCAGACUCAAGUUCAAAGAGCAGACGAUCCUUGAUCGAAAUCCUCGCCAGGUGCAUGGAUUUAUCGAAGAUGUAACAGGGAAAAAAGUUGCCACAUUAUUUGGCAAGUGGGAUGACAGCAUGUAUUAUAUGAAUGGCAAUGUAAAUGUCAAGCCUAAAGAUUUCACUUCAUCAAACGCAUCCUUGUUGUGGAAAAGGACUAUGCCAUCUCCUAAUCUCACCCGGUAUAAUUUGACACCAUUUGCCAUCACUCUGAAUGAGCUUACUCCGGGACUGAAGCUUUUUCUGAUCCCGGGUAUUUGAUCACGGAUUAAAGGAGAAGCUCCCGCCCACGGAUUCCAGGCUCAGACCAGAUCAACGGGAUCUAGAGAAUGGGGAAUACGAGAGGGCUAAUUUGGAGAAACAAAGGUUGGAAAAGCGGCAGAGAAUGUCAAGGAAAAUACAAGAAAGUGGUUGGAAGCCUAGGUGGUUCCGAAGAGAAGGUGAAAAUGGAACAUUUCGAUACGUUGGUGGGUAUUGGGAAGCGAGAGAGCAUGGAAGAUGGGACGGAUGCCCUAAUACAUUUGGUGAAUUUAAUGAAGACUCUACCGAUCCGUUAGGUGCAUCUUAAUUUGGUUCAGAUAAUGAUCGUGAUGGUUUAUCUUUAAUAUUGUUGCAUGGGGAUAUAUCUGUUUUGACAGAAUGGGGGAUUAAGAUUUACGAAACCGCUGUAGUCGGGGAUCCUUAAAGCAGUCAUGGUACAGGCUUUGUGCAUGGGCCGUGUGUUGGUGAUAUAGGAACAAUGAACAAUUGAAAGGGUAGCAAAAUUAACUUCCAACAUUUGUUUCUCGAUGCUGCUUUGUGAAUUGAAACGACUUGCAUGGCCAUGGCUACUUCUGUUGUAAUUUUCUUGACCUUAGGGACCAGGGACCAGGGUUUGCCCGGAAGAGAGUUGCGAUCCUUUGAUAAUCUUAAAUUGAAAUUGUUACUUGGUCUUGGAUGUGCAUAUAUAUGAGAAAAAAACCCAGCUGAGGAACAGUUGUUGGAUCACGGCGUCUUAGUCAGUCAAUUUUUACCCUUUUACUGUUUGUAUGUAAUUAUUUGGGGGGUAUUAGCUGAUUUAAGGAUAGAUCCCCAUAUCCUGUUAUAGCUAUACUCAGCCCGAAAGGCUAUUGAUUUAUUAGGUAAAUUGAUUGAAUUUUAGUAGUAAUAAAUGAUAAAUGACGAGAGGUUUUAUCUUAA